GGACUACUGGGGUAUCUAAUCCUGUUCGCUCCCCACGCUUUCGCUCCUCAGCGUCAGUUCCGGCCCAGCCCACCGCCUUCGCCACCGGUGUUCCUCCUGAUAUCUGCGCAUUUCACCGCUACACCAGGAAUUCCGUGGGCCCCUACCGGACUCUAGCCAUGGCAGUAUCGAGUGGCGUCUCCAGGUUGAGCCUGGAGGUUUCACACCCGACUUACCAAGCCGCCUACGAGCUCUUUACGCCCAAUGAAUCCGGACAACGCUCGCCCCCUACGUAUUACCGCGGCUGCUGGCAC
rnacentral:rRNA from 1 species